rnacentral:rRNA from 1 species
GACGUAGGGGGCCAGCGUUGUUCGGAAUUACUGGGUGUAAAGGGUUCGUAGGCGGUGUGGCAAGUUGGGAGUGAAAUCUCUGGGCUCAACCCAGAGGCUGCUUCCAAAACUGCUGUGCUUGAGUGUGGGAGAGGCGCGUGGAAUUGCAGGUGUAGCGGUGAAAUGCGUAGAUAUCUGCAGGAACACCCGUGGCGAAAGCGGCGCGCUGGACCACUACUGACGCUGAGGAACGAAAGCUAGGGGAGCAAACAGG